rnacentral:lncRNA from 1 species
GCUGGCAGUUAUCUUGUGUUCUUGAAGGAAGCAGGCCUGAGGAGGACUCCUCAUACAGAGAGAAACACCGAGAGAUUCACUGAAAAACUGACAUGGGAUCCUGAGGGGCCACUCUUGAAGACUUAUCUCUGCACCUUUCUGGUAUGUAAGUCAAUACAUUCCUUUAAUUUAACCCUGUUUCAAUUGAAUUUAUUGUUACUUCUACAUGAAAAACAAAAAGUCCUAAAUGAUAUAUCUACUCUUUGGCUUCAUGUAAGAAUUCAAGAGUGUAGCAGCUAAUUUCAGUGUAGUUAUAUUGGGAUUAUUUAAGAAGUUUAUUUAGCAUCUCAUUACUGAGUCUGCAGUUGUCUUAGUACCUUGUAGAUACUUGGGGUUUUGUGUUCUAAUAGACUGAUUAAUUCAACAACUGCUUAUUAUUAAUAUAAGCAUUCACUCCCUGUAGGGCACUGUGCAUACAGCAAUGAUCAGCAUGAUUCCAGUGCUCAGAGAGCUCCAAGGAUUAGUUGAGACCAGACAAGAAUAUCAAGGAGGCAUGCAGAAGUUACAAUGGGAAAUCAAAAAGAAGACAAAGGAGGGACACCUAAUUCAGAACGAUGGGUUUGUUGGAUAGGAGAGAAAAGGAGACGAAUGGGCAGGUAUCAUCAAAGAUUCCUAAGAAGAAGUUCCUAACUUCUGUUUUUGUGCCAUUGACUCUUUGGCAGUGUGGAGAAACCCAGGGACCCAUUUUCAGAACAGUGUUUUUAAAUGCAUAAAAUAUUUUGGAUUAAAAGGAAACUCUGAGUAUUGAAAUACCUAACAAAAUAUUUUAAAAGCAAAUUUGUAAUACAGUAAUGUAUAUGCUUCUUUAUUAACUAAUUAAAGAACAAGAUAUAGCAAUGAGCAUACCUAUUAAGAUAAUUUUAGAGGUACUAAUGACUAUAAAUGAAAUUUUGAGUUGUCUGCAGCAACUGUUAUGUGAAAUGAAAAUACCUGUGGUUUUUUUGGUUGUGAAGUCACAGGUACUACUAAUGCUAAUACUAUUGUGGUUUGUGGCAUACGUUCAUAAUAGAAUGACAUGCUAAAUUUUAUUUGGAAAGUUAGUUCAACACAAUUUCCUGGCUCUGAAUUCUAUGCCAAGUUAAAAAAAAAUUUGUGCUAAGAAGGGAUAAAAUUUGAUGUAAUUCUUU